GCCCAGUUAACACUGCGGGAGGAGGAAGAGGACGAGUUCAUCUGGGAGGAGGAGUUGCCGGACAUGGUGGAACCGGCGAAGUGGUUGGCGAUUGCCCGGGUCCACACACCAAGGACAUUUAGCCCUAACGCACUGUACAAUGACAUGCGUGCGGCAUGGAACCCUGCAAAACAGGUGGUAUGGAGGAAGAUAAAGGCCAAUUUGUUCACGACACAGUUUGGGUGUCUAGGCGAUUGGAACAAGGUAAUGUUGGAGGGGCCGUGGCUAUUCAGGGAGCAGGUAGUGAUCGUGGAGGACUAUGAUGGGUUCAAAAACCCUGACACUUCCGAGCUAGACAAGCUCUCUGUCUGGGCACAAAUUCAUCGUUUGCCGGACAAAUUCUUGAUUGAGCCAGCUGUAAAAGGUCUGGCAUCGAGGAUUGGUGAGGUGGAGGAGGUGCAACUAAAGCUACCGGCAGGUUUCUUCGAAGAAUUUGUGAGAGUUAAAGUGAAUAUAGAUAUUAAUGCUAAGAUCAAGCGUUUUGUUACUUCCAAGAAGGGAGAAGAAAGCGUAAAGUAUCAAGUGAAAUACGAGAAGCUUCCAACCUUCUGUUUUAACUGUUGUGAGUUUCGCCAUUGGCAUGAGGAAUGUGGAGAUGGGGAGCAUGAUGAGACUACCUUUCAGUGGGGGACUUCCUUUUUGCUGACAACGCCCGUCUAA
rnacentral:rRNA from 1 species